UGCGUAGGCGGUUUGGUAAGUCAGAUGUGAAAUUCCUGGGCUCAACCGAGGAACUGCAUUUGAUACUGCCAGACUAGAGUACUGGAGAGGAGACUGGAAUUCACGGUGUAGCAGUGAAAUGCGUAGAUAUCGUGAGGAAGGCCAGUGGCGAAGGCGAGUCUCUGGACAGUAACUGACGCUGAGGCACGAAGGCCGAGGGGAGCGAAACG
rnacentral:rRNA from 1 species